ensembl:misc_RNA Metazoa_SRP Metazoan signal recognition particle RNA
GCCGGGCGCGGUGGCGCGCGUCUGUAAUCCCAGCUACUCGGAAGGCUGAGCCCGGAGGAUCGCUUGAGUCCAGGAGUUCUGGGCUGCAGUGCGCUAUGCCGAUCGGGUGUCCGCACUAAGUUCGGCAUCAAUAUGGUGACCUCCCGGGAGCGGGGGGACACCAGGUUGCCUAAGGAGGGGUGAACCGGCCCAGGUCGGAAACGGAGCAGGUCAAAACUCCCGUGCUGAUCAGUAGUGGGAUCGCGCCUGUGAAUAGCCACUGUACUCCAGCCUGGGCAACACAGCGAGACACGGUCUCUU